rnacentral:rRNA from 1 species
UUGACCUCGGAUCAGGUAGGAAGACCCGCUGAACUUAAGCAUAUCAAUAAGCGGAGGAAAAGAAACCAACAGGGAUUGCCCUAGUAACGGCGAGUGAAGCGGCAACAGCUCAAAUUUGAAAUCUGGCUUCGGCCCGAGUUGUAAUUUGCAGAGGAAGCUUUAGGCGCGGCACCUUCUGAGUCCCCUGGAACGGGGCGCCAUAGAGGGUGAGAGCCCCGUAUAGUUGGAUGCCUAGCCUGUGUAAAGCUCCUUCGACGAGUCGAGUAGUUUGGGAAUGCUGCUCAAAAUGGGAGGUAAAUUUCUUCUAAAGCUAAAUACCGGCCAGAGACCGAUAGCGCACAAGUAGAGUGAUCGAAAGAUGAAAAGCACUUUGAAAAGAGGGUUAAAUAGCACGUGAAAUUGUUGAAAGGGAAGCGCUUGUGACCAGACUUGCGCCGGGCGGAUCAUCCGGUGUUCUCACCGGUGCACUCCGCCCGGCUCAGGCCAGCAUCGGUUCUCGCGGGGGGAUAAAGGUCCUGGGAACGUAGCUCCUCCGGGAGUGUUAUAGCCCGGGGCGUAAUGCCCUCGCGGGGACCGAGGUUCGCGCAUC